rnacentral:rRNA from 1 species
AGGUAGGGGAGAAUGGAAUUCCUGGUGGAGCGGUGGAAUGCGCAGAUAUCAGGAGGAACACCAGUGGCGAAGGCGGUUCUCUGGGCCUUUCCUGACGCUGAGGAGCGAAAGCGUGGGGAGCGAACAGGCUUAGAUACCCUGGUAGUCCACGCUGUAAACGGUGGGUACUAGGUGUGGGGUCCUUCCAGGGUUCCGUGCCGUAGCUAACGCUUUAAGUACCCCGCCUGGGGAGUACGGCCGCAAGGCUAAAACUCAAAGGAAUUGACGGGGCCCCGCACAAGCGGCGGAGCAUGCGGAUUAAUUCGAUGCAACGCGUAGAACCUUACCUGGGUUUGACAUGAUCGGGAGUGCUCAGAGAUGGGUGUGCCUCUUUUGGGGUCGGUUCACAGGUGGUGCAUGGCUGUCGUCAGCUCGUGUCGUGAGAUGUUGGGUUAAGUCCCGCAACGAGUGCAACCCUUGUUCACUGUUGCCAGCACGUUAUGGUGGGGACUCAGUGGAGACCGCCGGGGUCAACUCGGAGGAAGGUGGGGAUGACGUCAAGUCAUCAUGCCCCUUAUGUCCAGGGCUUCACGCAUGCUACAAUGGCUGGUACAGAGAGUGGCGAGCCUGUGAGGGUGAGCGAAUCUCGGAAAGCCGGUCUCAGUUCGGAUUGGGGUCUGCAACUCGACCUCAUGAAGUCGGAGUCGCUAGUAAUCGCAGAUCAGCACGCUGCGGUGAAUACGUUCCCGGGGCUUGCACACACCG